rnacentral:rRNA from 1 species
CACGUGAGCAACCUACCCUUGACACUGGGAUAACAGCUGGAAACAGCUGCUAAUACCGGAUAUGAACUCAGCAGGCAUCUGCCGAGUUGGAAAGCUCCGACGGUCAAGGAUGGGCUCGCGGCCUAUCAGCUUGUUGGUGAGGUAACGGCUCACCAAGGCGACGACGGGUAGCCGGCCUGAGAGGGCGACCGGCCACACUGGGACUGAGAUACGGCCCAGACUCCUACGGGAGGCAGCAGUGGGGAAUAUUGCGCAAUGGGCGAAAGCCUGACGCAGCAACGCCGCGUGCGGGAAGACGGCCUUCGGGUUGUAAACCGCUUUCAGCAGGGACGAAUCUGACGGUACCUGCAGAAGAAGCACCGGCUAACUACGUG